rnacentral:rRNA from 1 species
UAAUACGGAUGGUGCGAGCGUUAAUCGGAAUUACUGGGCGUAAAGCGCGCGUAGGCUGUUUUAUAAGUCGGAUGUGAAAUCCCCGGGCUCAACCUGGGAACUGCAUCCGAAACUAUUUAACUAGAGUAUGGGAGAGGUAAGUAGAAUUUCCGGUGUAGCGGUGAAAUGCGUAGAUAUCGGAAGGAAUACCAGUGGCGAAGGCGGCUUACUGGACCAAUACUGACGCUGAGGUGCGAAAGCGUGGGGAGCGAACAGGAUUAGAUACCCUGGUAGUCCACGCCGUAAACGAUGAGAACUAGACGUUGGGAGGGUGAGCCUUUCAGUGUCGCAGCUAACGCAUUAAGUUCUCCGCCUGGGGAGUACGACCGCAAGGCUG